UACGUAGGGUGCGAGCGUUGUCCGGAAUUACUGGGCGUAAAGAGCUCGUAGGUGGUUUGUCGCGUUGUCCGUGAAAACUCACAACUCAAUUGUGGGCGUGCGGGCGAUACGGGCAGACUGGAGUACUGCAGGGGAGACUGGAAUUCCUGGUGUAGCGGUGGAAUGCGCAGAUAUCAGGAGGAACACCAAUAGCGAAGGCAGCUCGCUGGGAGUGUGCCGACGCUGAGACACGAAAGCCAGGGGAGCGAACGGG
rnacentral:rRNA from 1 species